rnacentral:rRNA from 1 species
GUGCCAGCAGCCGCGCGGUAAUACCUGCAGCUCGAGUGGUGGUCGCUUUUAUUGGGCCUAAAACGUCCGUAGCCUGUCAUGUAAGUGCUUGGGUAAAUCGAAGGGCUUAACUCUUCGAAUUCCGGGUAGACUGCAUGACUAGAGACCGGGAGAGGUUAGAGGUACUCCGGGGGUAGAGGUGAAAUUCUGUAAUCCUCGGGGGACCACCAGUGGCGAAGGCGUCUAACUAGAACGGGUCCGACGGUGAGGGACGAAGCCCUGGGGCGCAAACGGGAUUAGAUACCCCGGUAGUCCAGGGUGU